rnacentral:misc_RNA from 1 species
UGGUUCCGGCAUCGAUGAAGAACGCAGCAAAAUGCGAUACGUAAUGUGAAUUGCAGAAUUCAGUGAAUCAUCGAGUCUUUGAACGCACAUUGCGCCCUUUGGUAUUCCGAAGGGCAUGCCUGUCCGAGCGUCAUCAAUUAAUCGAACACAUUGCUUUGUCCUUAGGGCCUCGUUGGUGAUACCACCCCCGGUCUGCCGGGGGACCAAGCCCGGAAAUCUAUCAGCCCACACGAUCGCCGGGCCGAAGCAUACGAAGACACUUUUUUGCUUUGCGCCUGCAGCGUUAUCGUGGGCGCGUGUGGACGUUCGUCCAAACACCCCUUUGUUUGACCUCGGAUCAGGUAGGAAAACCCGCUGA